UCGCCAUCGUCAAGCUUGUGCUGUCAACUAAUAUUACUUCUGAGACUUGAGUUCUUCUACUCUCUUUUCAGUUUCCCUCAAUGCUUUCCCAUAGAUUCUAAUCAACUCGUCAAGUUCUUCUGGAGUAACUACAAAUGGAGGAGACAUCAUGAUGGUAUCACCAGCAACUCGUACCAACAUGCCAUUCUUCUGACAUUGCGCUCCAAAAUAUGCACCAACACCCCAUUCGGGAGGGAAAGGAUCAUUAGGAGAUUUGUUGUUCGCAAACUCUGUGGCAAGGAUCAAACCAAGUCCCCUAAUCUCUCCGAUAAUGGGACUGUCAGAAAAUGCCUUCAGACCUUCUUGAAACUUUGGGGAUAUUCUAUUUACUCUCUCAACCAUAUUUCGCUCCUUGUAGAUUUUAAUAGCUUCCAAUGCCACUGCGCAUGCAACAGGAUGCCCAGAAUAAGUGAAUCCAUGGGAAAAGGAACCAAGUUUAUUGCUUUGAGAAUGAAUUACAUCAGAAACUUCGGGGCUUACGAGGACAGCUCCAAUAGGCAUAUAUGCAGAAGAAAGAGCCUUUGCUAAGGUGACAAGAUCAGGUUUGAUGUUAUACAUGUCAGAGCCAAACAUUGUUCCAAGCCUCCCAAAGGCACAGAUGACCUCAUCCGCAAUGAAAAGAAUGUCAUAUUUCUUCACUACAGCUUGGAUCUUAUGAAAAUAGGUAGCUGGAGGAGGUAUGACACCUCCUGCCCCCAUGACUGGUUCAGCAAUAAAAGCAGCUAUUGUUUCAGGCCCCUCUUUGAGGAUAAGAUCUUCUAAAUUUUUAGCCAACCUGGUGGAGAACUCCUCCUCUGUCUCACCUGGCAGAUGAUAACGCCAAUAAUGAGGACAGUCGGUGUGAAGAACAAAUGGAGCAGGAAGAUCAAAAUUUUGAUGUAAUGCAGGAAGGCCAGUGAGACUGGCAGAAAUAAGAGUUGAACCAUGAUAUGCUUUUGCUCGAGCUAUAAAUUUCUUUUUGUUUGGCCUUCCAAGAGCAUUGUUAUAAUACCAGACCAGCUUCACCUGGGUAUCAUUGGCUUCUGAUCCACUAUUGGUGAAAAAAGCUUUUGCCAUUUUCGUUGCAGUGAACAUAUCUAGAAGCUCCUUCGCAAGAUCCAAAGAAGGUUUUGUUGUACGGUUCCAAAAUGAAUGGUAAAACGGCAAUGUGUUUAAUUGCUUAGUGGCAGCAUCAACCAGGCGAGGCUCGUUCCCCCCUAGUGCUGUGCACCACAAACCAGCUAGAGUAUCAAUAUACUUCCUCCCUUGCAUGUCAUAGACAUGGGAUCCCUCAGACUUCUCUAUAAUCAAAGGAUCAACAUCAGUACUUUGCCACCCAGCAGUGAAGGGUGCCAACAUAUCAUGACCCUUGAACCCUUUAUUAUCAGUUCCAGAAAUAUCAUUUUCCAAACAUGCCUGUGUACUGUUAUAUCUUGCCGGUGUUGAUUUAACAAUAUGCUCCUGUAAACUGCUAACUGCUGGAAUACGUUUUCCAUGGAAACCAGCCUGGGCGGUGAUAGCUGCUUUCACGGUGGAUCCAAAAAGACGAGAAAUCUUAGCCAUUUGAUAAAAUCCUUCGAAUCAAUUUGUUGUUUAAUUACAAAUCAAAUAUUGUAAAAAUAAAACAUGCAUAGAAAAAAAAUGAAGGAAGGUGCAAUAUAUAUAUAGAGAAAAAAAA
rnacentral:misc_RNA from 1 species